rnacentral:rRNA from 1 species
AACGAACGCUGGCGGCAUGCCUAACACAUGCAAGUCGAACGAGAACUUCGGGCCUAGUGGCGCUCGGCUGCGUAACGCGUGGGAACCUGCCCUUAGGUUCGGAAUAACUCCCUGAAAGGGGUGCUAAUACCGGAUAAUGUCUUCGGACCAAAGAUUUAUUGCCUUUGGAUGGGCCCGGGUUGGAUUCGCUGGUUGGUAGGGUAAAAGCCUACCAAGGCGACGAUCCAUAGCUGGUCUGGGAGGAUGAUCCGCCACACUGGGCCUAAGGAACGGCCCAGACUCCUACGGGAGGGAGCAGAGGGUAAUAUUGGACAGUGGGCGAAAGCCUGAUCCAGCAAUGCCGGGUAAGUGAUGAAGGCCGUAGGGUUGUAAAGCUCUUUUACCCGGGAUGUUAAUGACGGUACCGGGAGAAUAAGCACCGGCUAACUCCGUG